AUUGAACGCUGGCGGCAGGCCUAACACAUGCAAGUCGAACGCGUGGCGGACGGGUGAGUAAUGUCUGGGACACUGCCCGAUGGAGGGGGAUAACUACUGGAAACGGUAGCUAAUACCGCAUACCAUCGGAUGUGCCCAGCUUGGAUUCGCUAGUAGUUGGGUUAACGGCUCACCUAGGCGACGAUCCCUAGCUGGUCUGAGAGGAUGACCAGCCACACGGGAACUGAGACACGGUCCAGACUCCUACGGGAGGCAGCAGUGGGGAAUAUUGCACAAUGGGCGCAAGCCUGAUGAAGCCAUGCCGCGUGUAUGAAGAAGGCCUUCGGGUUGUAAAGUACUUUCAGCGGGGAGGCGUUACCCGCAGAAGAAGCACCGGCUAACUCCGUGCCAGCAGCCGCGGUAAUAC
rnacentral:rRNA from 1 species